UACGUAGGGUGCGAGCGUUGUCCGGAAUUACUGGGCGUAAAGAGCUCGUAGGUGGUUUGUCGCGUUGUUCGUGAAAACCUGAGGCUUAACCUUGGGCGUGCGGGCGAUACGGGCAGACUGGAGUACUGCAGGGGAGACUGGAAUUCCUGGUGUAGCGGUGGAAUGCGCAGAUAUCAGGAGGAACACCGGUGGCGAAGGCGGGUCUCUGGGCAGAAACUGACGCUGAGGAGCGAAAGCGUGGGGAGCGAACAGG
rnacentral:rRNA from 1 species